CUUACUGUCCUGUCUCCACCGCCUGUUCAUCCAGAGUGCCUCCGCCCUAUUACUGCACUGCCACUGACAACAUCAGUUGUCCCAUGGCAUGUCCCACAUGUGGGUUGUCUGUUGCGUCCUUGUGGUGUCCUUCAUGGGGCAGGACUGACUGGACAAGGUGACCUCAGAGCAUAGGUCUGGAAGGCCACUGGCCCAAGCAUGGAGACAAAGUCCACCUGGAAACUCAGAAGACCCAACAUUCUAUCCAGCAGAGCAGGUUCCAGGUGCAUCACAUGUGAAUCCCCUCAGCCCUUGGGACAGCCAGAGCUCCUAGGAGUUUGUCCCCAUUGGGUGCAGUCAGUAAUGUGCUGAUAAAUGACCACAGACUGGGGGUGAGGUGGGGAGAGGGGG
rnacentral:lncRNA from 1 species